GGAAGAAAUAGUAUGAUAUAUGAAAAUUGUAUAAUACGGUACGGACUUGUAUUAGACGGAUUUAUGUAACGUGCCAUGUAUUAUCUCGAUGUUAUUACGAAGAUCUACUCUAUAUUCAAAUCGAAUUAACUUUGAGUUACAGAACGAGUACAAUAUUUCACGAGAGCCUGAGAACAAUACCGACGACGCACACGAUCCACUUGGCCAACAAAGGAAAGAAAAUAUGCGAGGGUCAGACAGAAGAACUAGCAGGAAAGUUUGUAAAAUGAAUUCUCAAUCGGCAAUCGAGCUUUCGAAAUGCUUCCAAUUAUUUCAAUGAAGACCAAGCUUUAGACAAUUUCUAUUCGAGGAAGAGGGUAAAAAAAAAAAAGAAAGAGAGAGAGAGAGAGAGAGAACGAAGUGGUAAAAGAAAAAAGUACGUAAGCUCUACUGGAACGAUGUAUCUUUCACACAAGUAAAAUUACCGGUCUCGUAGAAGAACAGUAUAACGACUGUAACGAAGUCUACGCCCUAAUAAAUUCACCGAAGCACGAAACGAAGGAUCUUCUAUCUUUCUCUCCUUCCCUCUUCCCCAUCUUCCACUUUCAUUCUAUCACUCUUUCUCUCUCCCUCCCUCUCUCUCUCCCUUCCUCUCU